GAUGAACGCUGGCGGCGUGCCUAAUACAUGCAAGUCGAACGCUUCACUUCGGUGAAGAGUGGCGAACGGGUGAGUAAUACAUAAGUAACCUGGCAUCUACAGGGGGAUAACUGAUGGAAACGUCAGCUAAGACCGCAUAGGUGUAGAGAUCGCAUGAACUCUAUAUGAAAAGUGCUACGGGACUGGUAGAUGAUGGACUUAUGGCGCAUUAGCUUGUUGGUAGGGUAACGGCCUACCAAGGCGACGAUGCGUAGCCGACCUGGGAGGGUGACCGGCCACACUGGGACUGAGACACGGCCCAGACUCCUACGGGAGGCAGCAGUAGGGAAUUUUCGGCAAUGGGGGAAACCCUGACCGAGCAACGCCGCGUGAAGGAAGAAGUAAUUCGUUAUGUAAACUUCUGUCAUAGAGGAAGAACGGUGGAUAUAGGGAAUGAUAUCCAAGUGACGGUACUCUAUAAGAAAG
rnacentral:rRNA from 1 species